rnacentral:lncRNA from 1 species
AGUUGAGAAAAAAUUCUAAAAUGCACAAGUUAUAUUGGUGACGUGCAUCCCCAUCAAUCAAAUAAAUUUUUUAAAAUUUAUCUGUCCCAUCAUAAUUAUAAAAAAAAUUUAUUAUAUUUUUUUUAAAAAAAAAUAUGAUUAGCUUGUUAUUGACGAUGUGAUGCAAGUGUAACAUAGUAGACUUCCUCCUAGUUGAGAGGAUUUCCAUACAUGAUUACGAAAAUAAAAUGAGCAAUGCUAUCGAAACACCUUUUUCAUUCAAAGACUAUCACUUUUUUACUUAUUACAUUAACCUUUUUUUAACUAAAAAUUAUUUGAGUUUUUGUGAAUUCUAAGAUAGAAAGGAACCUUUUUAUAAAAUAACCCUUUAAAAUGUCAUAAUUUGCGAAAUAAUUCUGCCAAAUUUAUAUUUGGCAAACUAACCCUCUUUUCACCACGUAGGUGCCACGUGGGUUUAUUGGUGCCACGUGGGUUUAUUUUUCGAAAAGCGGUGAAUCGUUUGUCGUAUUCUCUCAUAUCUUUUAAAGGCGGUGAAUCGUUCCCCGCAUUUUUCAAGUUCUUUUAUAGGCGGUGAAUCGUUCAUCACUUUUCCUAUUUCUUUUACAGACGGUUAAUCGUGGAUAUAUAGGAAAUAGAAAAAGCGAGAUUGUUAGGAUUAUAUGCGGAUCAUUAGAAAUUUUAUUUGAUUGUUAGGAUUAUAUGGAUAAAUUAUUAGGAUUUUCAGGUUGUUAAUAUUAUAUGAAAUUGUAUAGAACUAUUAGUAUUUUUAGAAUGUUAAGAUUAUAUGAAAUUAUAUGGAUAGACUAUUAGGAUUUUCAGUCUGUUAAGAUUAUAUGAAAUUGUAUGGAUAAAUUAUUAGGAUUUUCAGAUUGUUAAGAUUAUAUGUGAUUUGUUAAAUUUUCUAUGUGGUUAUUAGGAUUAUAUGUGAGAUAUAGAAAAAAAAUAAAUAAGUGAAAGGCGGUGAAUGAUUCAAGGCCUUUGUGGGGUGGUAAACGAUUCACCACCUUCAUAAGAAAUAUCCGCCCCACGCCUACGUGGCGAAAGGAGGGCUAGUUUUAUAAAUAUAAUUUAGAGAGGGUUAUUUCACAAAUUUUAAAAUUUUAAAAAGUUAUUUUAUAAAAAAGUUCGAUAGAAAGUGUAAGAUUUG